UACGGGAGGGGCGAGCGUUGUUCGGAAUCAUUGGGCGUAAAGGGCGCGUAGGUGGUUCUGUAUGUCUACCGUGAAAGCGUACGGCUCAACCGUAUUUUGUCGGUAGAAACUGCAGGACUUGAGGCUGGGAGGGGCUGGUGGAAUUCCCUGUGUAGCGGUGAAAUGCGUAGAGAUAGGGGAGAACACUCGUGGCGAAGGCGGCCAGCUAGACCAGUUCUGACACUGAGGCGCGACAGCGUGGGGAGCAAACAGG
rnacentral:rRNA from 1 species